CCUACGGGCGGCAGCAGUGAGGAAUAUUGGUCAAUGGACGAGAGUCUGAACCAGCCAAGUAGCGUGAAGGAUGACUGCCCUAUGGGUUGUAAACUUCUUUUAUAUGGGAAUAAAAUGUUCCACGUGUGGGAUUUUGUAUGUACCAUAUGAAUAAGGAUCGGCUAACUCCGUGCCAGCAGCCGCGGUAAUACGGAGGAUCCGAGCGUUAUCCGGAUUUAUUGGGUUUAAAGGGAGCGUAGGUGGAUUGUUAAGUCAGUUGUGAAAGUUUGCGGCUCAACCGUAAAAUUGCAGUUGAAACUGGCAGUCUUGAGUACAGUAGAGGUGGGCGGAAUUCGUGGUGUAGCGGUGAAAUGCUUAGAUAUCACGAAGAACUCCGAGUGCGAAGGCAGUUCACUGGACUGCAACUGACACUGAGGCUCGAAAGUGUGGGUAUCAAACAGGAUUAGAUACCCUUGUAGUC
rnacentral:rRNA from 1 species